rnacentral:rRNA from 1 species
GACGUAGGGCGCGAGCGUUGUCCGGAUUUAUUGGGCGUAAAGAGCUCGUAGGCGGCUUGUCGCGUCGACCGUGAAAACUUGGGGCUCAACCCCAAGCCUGCGGUCGAUACGGGCAGGCUCGAGUUCGGUAGGGGAGACUGGAAUUCCUGGUGUAGCGGUGAAAUGCGCAGAUAUCAGGAGGAACACCGAUGGCGAAGGCAGGUCUCUGGGCCGAUACUCACGCUGAGGAGCGAAAGCGUGGGGAGCGAACAGG